rnacentral:sRNA from 1 species
AGAAAUAGAAAUAGAAGAAGUAAAAAUAGAGGAUAAGGAGAAAAAAUCUUCGAGCCCAAGUGACAGUAUUGACAAAACGGAGACAGCAUUCCUGGUUGCGGCAAGAACUAUGGUGAAUGAACUUUUAGAGCGAAUUCCAAGUGUGAUCCAUAACUUGAAUGCAAAGAAAGAAAAAGAAAAAAAGGAAAUUUCAAGGGCAAGUGACAGUAUUGACAAAACGGAGACAGCAUUCCUGGUUGCGGCAAGAAAUGGCAUAAUUGAAAUGGUGAAUGAACUUUUAGACCAAAUUCCAAGUGUGAUCCAUAACUUGAAUGCAAACAAAGAGAACGUGCUGCUGGUGGCAGUGAUGAAUAGGCAACCCUUUGUUAUUAAGAAAUUGAAAAUGAAGGUAAAAGGAGAAGUUUGGAAUAAUUUAACUCUGGCAAUAGAUAAAAAUGAGAGGACCAUAUUGCACUGGGCAGCAGAUGCUCCAGGAGACGACAAGCAUACAAAGAUAGCUGGUUCUGCCUUGCAAAUGAUGUGGGAUAUAAAGUGGUUUCGGUAUAUUGAAAGCCUCGUACCAGAACACUUUUACUUAAGAAGCGACACAGUGGGCGAAACUGCAG